GACGAACGCUGGCGGCGUGCUUAACACAUGCAGGUCGAGCGGAAAGGCCACUUCGGUGGUACUCGAGCGGCGAACGGGUGAGUAACACGUGAGUAAUCUGCCCCUGGCUUUGGGAUAGCCACCGGAAACGGUGAUUAAUACCGGAUACGACCACUUCUCGCAUGGGAUGGUGGUGGAAAGUUUUUUCGGCCAGGGAUGUGCUCGCGGCCUAUCAGCUUGAUGGUGAGGUAAUGGCUCACCAUGGCUUCGACGGGUAGCCGGCCUGAGAGGGUGACCGGUCACACUGGGACUGAGACACGGCCCAGACUCCUACGGGAGGCAGCAGUGGGGAAUAUUGGACAAUGGGCGGAAGCCUGAUCCAGCAACGCCGCGUGAGGGAUGACGGCCUUCGGGUUGUAAACCUCUUUCAGCAGGGACGAAGCGCAAGUGACGGUACCUGCAGAAGAAGCACCGGCCAGCUACGUGCCAGCCGCCGCGGUAA
rnacentral:rRNA from 1 species